UGUAAAUUGGUACAAAUGUGGAAAACUGGCAAGAAGUACUAAGUCUAAAUGUAUGCAUGCCUUAUGACCUAGCAAUUCCAUUCCUGGGCAUAUUUACAGGAAGGAGAAAUAUGUACAUAUGUGUAUCAAAAGACAUCUACAACAAUGAUCAUACAAAAUUCUUCACAACAUAGGAAAACUGGAAACAACUGAAACAUCCAUUGGCAGUAAAAUGAAUAAUAAAUUAUAAUAUAUUCCAACAAUGGAAUAAUAAACAGCUGUGAAAAAUAAGGGAA
rnacentral:lncRNA from 1 species